rnacentral:lncRNA from 1 species
CGGGGCUGCUGGCACGUGUCCCUGACAGCGUGCGUGUGUGUAUGUGGCCCUGCGUGUACCUUGUGCACGUGUGUAUGUGUGUGCGUGUGCAUGUGUACGUGUGUGUGUACGUGUGUGUGUGUGUGUGUGUGUCCCCAGGCACACAACAGGCAGAGAAAGGGCAGAGUGUGAAGUCUGCUUUCUUCCUCCGGGGUUGUCAGCUGCAGUUCCCUCCACCCCGCCUUGGGGGUGAGUCUGAAAGAAAUGAGGUGGGUGCAGCAAUAAGCCUUUUUUGUGGCUUCGCCCACGGCAGGCACAAGUUCCCAGACCAGGGACGGAACCCGCGCCACCGCAGAAACCAGAGCCAGCGCAGUGACAGUGUCUCCUCCACCUGCCGAGCCGCCAGGGAACUCCCACUGAGACUUAAAAGCUUAAAAGCGGGAAGCACCCUCUGCGUUCUUCUUAGGGUGUGACAUCCGGGCAGAUGUCAGGCCUGGUGAGAGCUGCUGUCAAACUCCUUUGCAAGGCUGGGGGCAGGCGGUGUCCUGUGUGCUCAGGACACGUGGGGUCUGGCCCCACUGUGGCCGGACCCCGAGCUCCUGCGAGUCUGGCGGCUGCAUCCUCCUAUGCCCCCAGCCCAGAAGCUGAGUCUCCAGAAGCUCCCCAGGCCUCGUCGAGGUCCAGGCAGAGGAACAGGAUUAGGAUUGAGCCCCCGAGGCCCCAGACCUCAGCUUCCUGCACAAACCACAUGACCUGGGGGGUUGAGGGGCUCGAGUCAAGACCCGCAGCAGAUCAGGAAAAGGCCUCGUGCUGUCUGGUUCUGAGCAGACUCGAUGGAGGUGAAUCAGAGCUCUGGAAAUUACUCCUUAAGUUGCGGUCUUCGGUCUCCGUUGCCUGACACUCGUAAAGUUAGUUUUACAAGCAGCCUAAACUCCCCUUUGCAAUGAUCGGCCGAUGGUGACCAGGCAUUUGCCUAGAUUUUUCUCUCCUCUAAAGGCGGGAUUCCAUCUCUGUACAAUCUGUGAAUUGUUCCCAGCGAGAUGGACCUCAUUUUGUCUCGCACCCCCACUGGCAACGCCAGGGGCUGUUGUGGAUGUGGUUUGGAGACCUGCGUCCAAGCAAUAAAAAUGAAUCUCCCCUGUGACCGUCUGGACGACGUGAGCAGAUCCCUCGUCUGGUUUUAAUGGGAGCGGGAAAUCACUAACAGAUGGCAGUGGCGCUCACAGGCUCCCCGCCUAGAACCCUUUCUGACGGCAGCUCGCCCCCCGCACGUGCGUCCCAGACGUGGGCUAUUUGCAGGACGCCUGGCCCCCCGCGAUGCUAAAUGUGUAGCAGCAGGGGGGCUGCGUGUGUGCCGGCUGAGGUCAUGGUUAUUCCUUUCGAGGAGAGGCGUUUGGUUUAUAAAACCCCAGCGACUCCACGGGGAGGGCCUUUCGGGGAAGAAAACCAGCCCGGGGUUCGCUUCCUGUUCCGACGCCGGUGGGAUCAGCGCUGACAUCACUGGCCCUGGACGGGCUCUGGGCGAAGUUGCCU